AGUCUUUACUUAAGUUCUUCAUCUCUUGCAUGAGAUAUAAGAUACUCUCUCUACUUAGCUAUAGUCUUCUUACAUAUUAGUGCAAGAAAUAUCUUAAGGAUCUUGGUGGACUAGCUUUAGAGAGAGGACACUUGGACUCCUAGCAGAUAAGGGAAACAUCAACUUCUACAAGCUUAAGGAGCAAAGGAGUUGUUUGGAUAAAAAAUCGAAGUAUCUACCUCAAGAUCAAGAACAUGCUAGCACUUUAGGUCUUCCUUUGAGGAUAUUGGCUCAUCCCAAUGACCACGUGAAAAUUUCUUUAACAAUGAAUAAUACAAGUUAACCAUUGCUAGCAUAGGUUGGAUUAGAGGGCGUGUUGAUGCAUUCACAUCCUGAAUUAGAGAUAGAAUGAAUAAUUUCGAUGUUCUUUGAUAGAGCAAGAUCCGAAUGAAACUACACAAGUGGUUUCCUUGUGAGUUUUGAAUUUGCAUAUGUGUUCUAUCCUAUGUAGGAAUUUCUAA